AGUGAACGCUGGCGGUAGGCCUAACACAUGCAAGUCGAACGGCAGCACAGGAGAGCUUGCUCUCUGGGUGGCGAGUGGCGGACGGGUGAGGAAUACAUCGGAAUCUACUCUGUCGUGGGGGAUAACGUAGGGAAACUUACGCUAAUACCGCAUACGACCUACGGGUGAAAGCAGGGGAUCUUCGGACCUUGCGCGAUUGAAUGGGCCGAUGUCGGAUUAGCUAGUUGGCGGGGUAAAGGACCACCAAGGCGACGAUCCGUAGCUGGUCUGAGAGGAUGAUCAGCCACACUGGAACUGAGACACGGUACAGACUCCUACGGGAGGCAGCAGUGGGGAAUAUUGGACAAUGGGCGCAAGCCUGAUCCUGCCAUACCGCGUGGGUGAAGAAGGCCUUCGGGUUGUAAAGCCCUUUUGUUGGGAAAGAAAUCCAGCUGGCUAAUACCCGGUUGGGAUGACGGUACCCAAAGAAUAAGCACCGGCUAACUUCGUGCCAGCCGCCGCCGUAA
rnacentral:rRNA from 1 species